rnacentral:lncRNA from 1 species
CUCCAGCACUACAGACAAGACUUGGCCACUAGUUCCUAAUAUACCAGUAACAACAUACAAGAGACAGUGAUUUAAAAAAAAAAACCAAAAAAACAAAAACAGAUUUAGUCAUUGUGGCCACACUGGGAAGAGGCAUACAGAGGAACCCCAGUCCAUCUUUGGGGUUCUGACAUUUAAAUAGAGAAAGGAUUGUGGUAGGCUGCAGGAAGUCUACAUAAUGAAAAAGUCUCGGUGAACGUGCAGCCCCAUUUCCGCUUCCUUGGCUCUGGUCCUGCAAGCAACAGAAAGAAAUUAGAACUGAGACUAUGAUCAACAUGAUCCUCCCAGGGAGGUACAGGAGGAACUGGGGUGAUGGACAAGAAGUGGUGAAUGACUGGAGACUCACAGGCACUUGUCCAGGGAGUGAUGCUGCCUUAGUUAUCGGUCGUGACCAUGUCUAUCACAGAGGAAAAGAAAGUCUCGAAAACAAAAACAACCCCAAACAAGACUACAGAGCCUGGACUGCAACUGAGGAGGAAAGCCACUGAUGCAAGACUUAGGAGAAACAUACAAGGCCCAGGAAGUAAACUGAAUUUGCAGGGCUCAGGAAUUUCCUGAAUGUUACAAGAUUCACAAGACCCAUCCCUAAGGCUAUAUAAGCAGUGACAAUGGCUGGGAACAGGAGACUGCAGAGCAAUGUACAAGCUGCACAGGCAGCUUCAGGAAUGCCGCCCUUUGUGAGUCAUCACUGUGCUGGGGUUGGCUUCAGCAGCUUCUGCAGCUGCCUUGAACCCCCUGCUCCUAUAAGUAACCCCUCAUUCAGGCCUUUGUGAGUAACCUCUCUCCCACACUUCUGUAAGUAACCCCAGU